AAAGAGGUUUUUCCCCUUUCCGGGGCAGGAUGUGUAGGUGCUGCAUGGUUGUCGUCAGCUCGUGCCGUGAGGUGUCGGCUUAAGUGCCAUAACGAGCGCAACCCUCAUCAUUAGUUACCAUCAGGUAAGGCUGGGGACUCUAAUGAGACUGCCAUCGUAAGAUGGUGAGGAAGGUGGGGAUGACGUCAAAUCAGCACGGCCCUUACGUCCGGGGCGGACACACGUGUUACAAUGGGUGGUACAAAGGGCAGCUACCUGGCGACAGGGAUGCUAAUACUCCAAAACCACUCUCAGUUCGGAUCGGAGUCUGCAACUCGACUCCGUGAAGCUGGAUUCGCUAGUAAUCGCGCAUCAGCCACGGCGCGGUGAAUACGGUUCCCGGGCCUU
rnacentral:rRNA from 1 species